rnacentral:lncRNA from 13 species
AUGGACAACAACAGUGUUCCAAAAGGAGGACAACAACAGUGUUCCAAAAGGAGGACAACAACAGGCUUCCAAAAGGACAAUAAUAGUGUCAAAAAGGAGGACAACAACAGUGUUCCAAAAGGAGGACAACAACAGUGUUCCAAAAGGAGGACAACAACAGGCUUCCAAAAGGACAAUAAUAGUGUCCAAAAGGGAGGACAACAACAGUGUCCCAAAAGGAGGACAACAACAGUGUCCCAAAAGGAGGACAAUAACAGUGUUCAAAAGGACAAUAACAGUGUUCCAAAAGGAGGACAACAACAAUGUCCAAAAGGAGAACAACAACAAUGUCCAAAAGGAGGACAACAACGGUGUCCAAAAGGAGGACAACAACAGUGUCCAAAAGGACGACAACAACAGUGUCCAAAAGGACGACAACAACAGUGUCCCAAAAGGAGGAAAAUAACAGUGUUCAAAAGGACAACAACAUUGUUCAAAAGGACAACAACAUUGUUCAAAAAGACAAUAACAUUGUUCAAAAAGACAGUAACAUUGUUCAAAAAGACAAUAACAUUGUUCAAAAAGACAAUAACAGUGUUCAAAAAGACAAUAACAGUGUUCAAAAAGACAAUAACAGUGUUCAAAUCAAAAUGUAUUUGUCACAUACACAUGGUUAGCAGAUGUUAAUGCGAAAUGCUUGUGCUUCUAGUUCCAACAAUGCAGUAAUAACCAACGAGUAAUCUAACCUAACCUAAGGUCCACAUGGCAUGGUGUUUAACAUGGGAUAAUCAUGCUAUGCUAGUGAAGCAUGAAUAGUCAGUAGUGACAAAUGGUAAGAGAUAGCUGAACCAAAGCCUAAGGGUGAACUGUGCCUUGCUGAUGUCACAACCAAACCCCUUGAGGUACUGAAGAGUAGACUGACUGUUUUACUAAAACCACAACCGGCAUUAUAUACAAAUGUGCAAAGAAAUAUGAAAAUGAACUAACUAAUAACGAACAAAGUUAAAAACACUGCAGAGUGUGAAGAGAGGAAACGUGAGUCUGGAAAGGCUUGCAGCAGUACUGGUAUAGACUGGAAUGGGAGGUCAUUUAGAAUGUCCUGGCAGACUAAGAGACAUUACAUUCAGAAAAUUCCCUUUUACACACACACACACACACACACACACACACACACACACAGAGAGAGAGAGAGAGAGAACCAGGGGGAUGGGGACAUUGGGAACAUUGAUUAAAGGUGACAGCAUGUCAAUUCCAAUAGAGUGUGUUCGGCCCGGGGGAGACCAAAUCUCCAUCAACACCCAGAGCACAGACACACACACACACGGCUGCAUACUCACACACACACUGGUGCAUACUCAAACACACACUGGUGCAUACUCACACACAUACACACUGGCGCAUAUUCACACACACACACACUGGCGCAUAAUCACACACACAC